CCUACGGGAGGCUGCAGUGGGGAAUAUUGCACAAUGGGGGAAACCCUGAUGCAGCGACGCCGCGUGAGUGAAGAAGUAAUUCGUUAUGUAAAGCUCUAUCAGCAGGGAAGAAAAUGACGGUACCUGAGUAAGAAGCCCCGGCUAACUACGUGCCAGCAGCCGCGGUAAUACGUAGGGGGCAAGCGUUAUCCGGAUUUACUGGGUGUAAAGGGAGCGUAGACGGCAGUGCAAGUCUGGAGUGAAAGGCGGGGGCGCAACCCCCGGACUGCUCUGGAAACUGUACGGCUGGAGUGCAGGAGAGGUAAGUGGAAGUCCUAGUGUAGCGGUGAAAUGCGUAGAUAUUAGGAAGAACACCAGUGGCGAAGGCGGCUUACUGGACUGUAACUGACGUGGAGGCUCGAAAGCGUGGGGAGCGAACAGGAUUAGAUACCCCAGUAGUC
rnacentral:rRNA from 1 species